UACAGAGGUGGCAAGCGUUGUUCGGAAUUACUGGGCGUAAAGGGCGCGUAGGCGGCCUACUAAGUCAGACGUGAAAUCCCUCAGCUUAACUGGGGAACUGCGUGUGAUACUGGAUGGCUUGGAUUUGGGAGAGGGAUGCGGAAUUCCAGGUGUAGCGGUGAAAUGCGUAGAUAUCUGGAGGAACACCGGUGGCGAAGGCGGCAUCCUGGACCAAUAUUGACGCUGAGGAGCGAAAGCCAGGGGAGCAAACGGG
rnacentral:rRNA from 1 species